rnacentral:rRNA from 1 species
GUAGUCUCGCACAGAUGCAUAUCAAUAAGCGGAGGAAAAGAAACUAACAAGGAUUCCCCUAGUAACGGCGAGUGAAGUGGGAAGAGCUCAAAUUUGAAAUCUUAAAGGGUUUCCCUUUACGAAUUGUAGUUUAAAGAAGUGUUUUCUGUUGAGGUUUUGGUAAAAGUUCUUUGGAAUAGGACAUCAUAGAGGGUGAGAAUCCCGUAUUUGACCUUUACUUUCAACUUUGUGAUACACUUUCAAAGAGUCGGAUUGUUUGGGAAUGCAGUCCAAAAUGGGUGGUAAAUUUCAUCUAAAGCUAAAUAUUGGCGAGAGACCGAUAGCGAACAAGUACCGUGAGGGAAAGAUGAAAAGAACUUUGAAAAGAGAGUUAAACAGUACGUGAAAUUGUCAAAAGGGAAGCGUUUGACACCAGUGUUGUUUUUCUGAAAAUCAAUUAAAGAACUGUUUAUGCUAAGCUGUUUAGACUUUAUCAGCUAUCUGUUUAGUUUUGAGCUUUUCUUUAAUGCACUUUUCAGUUAACAAGUCAACAUCAAUUUCUUUUGCUGUAAAAAAGCUUGAGGAAGGUGGCUUGAGAUUCGUCUUAAGUGUUUAUAGCCUCUUGCCUAUGCAGUCGGAGAGAUUGAGGUCUGCAGCGUAGAUCCUUCGGGGCUAAACGCAUUUGUGCUAAGUUAUAGCAUUUUAUAGACAACUUGUUGACUAUGAUUUGUCUUGUAGCUUACUCGCUUAUGUUAUUUUACCUACGCUUAGGAUGUUGAUCUGUAGUGCGUGCGC